UGAAAACGUAUUACAAUACAAUUUCAUUAUGGCUAUGAUAUGAGAAGGAAACAUAAUCUACUUUCAGACAGAAUACUCCAAGAAAGGCCAUUCUUCUGUUGCGAUCAGCUCUGGGCUUCCUGUCACCACCCAGCUUGCCCCUAUCUGCUUGGGACUGCCUAAUCAGCCAGAAGACCACAAAAAAGGGCACUCAUCCUUUGUCACCUGAAACAGGACAGAUGUGAAGCACUUUCAACAACUUGUGCUUGAGGCCUGGGAUUCUGUAGAGCAUGUUCCAGUGUACAAGAGGAUUCAAGUCCCUGGCAGCCUGCUUUCUAUCCAAAGCUGGGUCACCUCUCUUGGGACCACCAGGACAUUGAAUUGCUUUCCCAUUCCUGUGGACUUCUGAAAUGGGCCCACCUGAGACAAGAACCCAGAGUGCCUAGCACCUUUAGGCUGGGCACAGAACCACCCACCUAGGAACCGAUGACUGCAACCCAGGAGGAGACACAGAUGCCCCCAGAGAUGCCCCCAAGUCACAGCCUCCCUUGAGCCCUGCCAAUGCACUCCCUAACUGCCUCACUUGGCUGGAUCACCCUGCUCCAGGAACAGACAACUGGAGCCUGAGAAAUCAGAUGAUGGAGACCUACCAAGCAUCACCCUCCUCCUGCCUCCCAACAGCCACCACCCAGUGUUCCAAGUCUUGUUGGGAGUAGAGCCCAGGAGCAGUGGCUGAGUUGAUGCAAGGCUGCCUCUGCCACCUGCCUUUGGCCUCCUUGAGAUUUCUUUCACUGAGACUCUUCAAUGGGUGAUCCUGUGCCAAAAGGUAUUGCUACCAUGACACCUCUAGGUUUGCUCAAACACAAUGGUAGAGAUCGUGCCUGCAGAGAACUUUGCACAUGUGUUUUUGCCCACGUGAUAAAACUGUGCAAAAAUGCAAAAUUCUUACCCAUGCAUGUUUCUGGUUUGGCUGCUGAGGAAGGACAGGGAGCAGAGGAGCUGGUGGCCGGGCCUGGGCCAGGACAGGUGCAUGGCCCUUGGUGCAAUAGGGAGGAGUCCAGCAUGAACACAACUUUUAUUGGUAUAGAGGUGACUGGGUGUUUUAAAGGGAGACUGAGGGAAUAGGGAGGUGUGUGAGUGAGGAAGACCUGCGUAGAAACAGGAAAGUGAAAAAUUAUAGAAAGUGGAAAGGGGGGAUUGGUCCAUAUGAACUGAGUCUCCUAACUGGGGCUAAACAAAGCUAGGCUCCUGCCCUCCCACAGAGGCUGGGAGACAGGAGCCCUAUUUUCAGGUCUUGCCUCGAACACACAGUAUAUUCUUUUUGUAGCCUUGAUCUUUCUCAGUCAGGCAUCUAAAGGAGGGCUAGGGUCAUCCCAGAGUUGUGGCCUUGAGCUGUAAGACACUGUGUUAGUGUUUUUCAAGUCUUUAUAGACCAAGGUUGAAGCUUAGUAAAGAGUACUCCCAGGAACCUGUCUAGAGAUUGGUCAAGGAGAUAAUCUUUGUUAAUGUCAACUGAAGAAAAAAAAAAUCAAGCUUUUAAAUAUUUAAAUUUAUUUAGAAGUCUUUCUGAGGACUACAGACUGAGGACUUACAGCCCUGGAGGAGUCUUUUAGAGAGAUUUUGCAGACUGCUUAGAAACAGCGUUUCUGCUCAUAACUUAUAUACAGGUCAUGGAGGUUUCAGUAUGCCUUCAGAACUUACGUCAAACUUGCUCAGAUUUUACAUUAAAGCAGAAUCACAUCAAUGCUUGGGUGCAAGAGUACAUCUGGUUAUAGAUUAUAGAGCAUAAUCACUAACCCUGUCACAUAUUAUGUGUAGGAAAAUAUGUGUCACAUAUUAUGUGCAAGGACUGAGUUCAUUUAUGUGUUUUGUUUGUUUGUUUGUUUUUUUGAGAUGGAGUUUUGCUCUUGUCGCCCAGGCAGGAGUGCAGUGGCGCGCUCUUGGCUCACUGCAACCUCUGCCUCCCGGGUUCAAGCGUUUCUUCUGCCUCAGCCUCCCAUGUAGUUGGGAUUACAGGCACCCACCACCACGCCCAGCUAAAUUUUGUAUUUUUGUUAGAGACGGGGUUUCACUAUGUUGGCCAGGCUGGUCUUGAACUCCUGACCUCAGGUGAUCCACCUGCCUUGACCUCUCAAAGUGCUGGGAUUACAUGCAUGAGCCACUGCGCCCGGCUCAUUUAUCUUUUAAGGAACAUAGUGACUCAGACAGGAGAUGUGGGGGGCAAUGUGCUGUAUCCUGCCUGUUGUUGUUGUUGUUGUUGUUGUUGUUUGUUUGUUUGGACAAACUCUCACUCUGUCACCCAGGCUGGAGUGCAGUGGUGCGAUCUCGGCUCACUGCAACCUCCACCUCCCGAGUUCAAGUGAUUUUUGUGUCACAGCCUCUCGAGUAGCUAGGAUUACAGGCACCUGCCACCAUGCCUGGCUAAUUUUUGUAUUUUAGUACAGACGGGGUUUCAUCAUGUUGGCCAGGCUAGUCUCAAACUCCUGACCUCAGGUGAUCCACCUGCCUCGGCCUCCCAAAGUGCUGGGAUUACAGGCAUGAGCCACUGUGCCCAGCCCCUGUUUUGUUUUUAAAGCAUUCUCCCAGACAGAAGGACAUCAUCACAGAGUCAGGGGCUUUGUGAAAUUAUGCUGGCAACGGAAAUGAGCAAACAUGGCUUUUUACAUUGCAACUUUGUCUCAAGUAAGUUACUGGGGAUGUGGGGCCAAAGGGGAGGCACCUUCCUGCACCAUAGGAAAGCUGGGAAUGGAAAGAGAAGCCAGGAGUGCAGGAUGGAGAUACCAGAGUACUCUGGGGGUGGUUUGCAGAGCUAGGACCUCAAUUUUGGGUGGGGACCAGGAUGCCAAACAAAUCUCCAAAUUGACCUCUGUCUAGGUUCCUGGAUGCUGUUCCAGGUGUUGAAGAAGGGUCAACCUAGGAUCAGUAUGGUGGCUUAUGCUGAACUGGGAAGAUGCAUGAGGAAGAAGCAGAGAGAACCAAGCAGUCACUUCGCAAGGCCAAUUCUGGAAGAGCACAUUUGGGGAAAAUGGGCUUAAGUAGAGCCAGGAAAGUUCUAGUGGAAAGACAGGAUUGGUCCAAAUGAAUUGAGUCUCCUAACUGGUGAGGCCAAUUCUGGAUGAGCAGAUUUGUGAGAAAUGGGCAAGGCCUUCCCUCUUCCAGGAUAUGUGGGUUUCCUUCAUCACAGUGGCCACCACAUGAAUUUCUAGGAUGAAGGGGUCAAAAUCUCCUGGCAACCUUGAGCUUAAAUUGUGUUUGUGUAACACCUUCCCUAAGGUUCCAAUAAAAUUACUAGGGGGUUUUACAGAGUGAAGUAGAAGGGACUGACAAAGACCCUCCUUGACCAAACCCUAGACACAGUCUCCUCACCCCUUUCCCACCUAUGCUUGGACCUUGGACAUUGCCUCAAGAGCCCAGUUUUAGCCAGCAUCCCCUAUCUUCAAUAUCUGAUUCGCCCUCGAUAUCUGACCACAUUCCUUAUUCUCCAAUUGAUAUCUGAUCACCCUGGUCUGCCUAUAGCAAGAAUACUGUUAGGUCACUUUAGAAAAAAUUAACGUAUCCUUUUAGUAAUUUUCCAUUCACUAACCCCUGUCCUGCCCCACGUUCCAUCCCUACCUCUCAGUCUUUGGCUGUAAAUCCCUUAUUUUCCUUGUAUUAGGAGCUGAUCCCAAUCUCAAUCCUCUACUGCAAAGUACACCUAUGGCAAUAAUGCUGAAUGAAGUCUGCUUUACCAUCCUAACAACUGUGUUACAUUUUUUCUUUAACAGAAAUAAAGUAUGUUUGUGCUUUUGAAGAGGUAGGAGACUUUCUGUCACCUAAGUCCCAUAUCCAGUCCUGAAGCCUCUUCUUGCCUCAGAGUUGUUAGGGCUGGUUUCCUGAGGAAAUAAAAACAUUUCACUCCAAAAUCUAUUUGUUUGACAUACUUCAUGAUAGUGGUUCAGAGGGCCUGCAAACAGAAGUAGUCCUAAAAACUGUGUUUUAUGAGGGAGACCUUCAUCUGUAGAGAAAACCUGUAUUGAUGUAGCCAGACUUAAGCCCCCAUUCUUUCUGGUAACCUUAAAUUGGUAUAUAAACAUUCAUACCCCAUUGUUAGGGUAAUCACUUGUGACUUUCCCCCAAUGCAUGCUAGUAAAUUUCUAUGCCAUCUCCCCUAGUAAUUGGCCUUUUGUCAGUUGAUUUUUCAUCAAACCUUCAGAGGAGGAAGGGAAAUAUUCCCUUAGCUUCUACAGUUUUGGUGCUGUCAGCAGGAUCCCAAAGUCUCUUUGCUGUUCUGGAAACUGCAGUGAAGGGAACCUAGGACCUGACUAGAUGGCAGAAAGGUAAGAUUUUCUUACCAACCAGGCUCUCGGUCUCUCUCUGUGGAAUCCAGUCAAGUGGAUGGCAAAAAUCACUGUAUGUCUCUUUUUCCUCUGCAAAAUUUUGAUUAAUAGGAGAAAAAAAUUUGUGUGGCUAGUAGUGGGUCUAACAACUCUGAUGUACUGUUUGGUAUGAAUAUUCGUAUUGUUUGGUCUUUCUCCUCCCAGAAACAGUUUUCUUCUUUGUCUUUUUGUGUUGUUCUGUGAUAAAGAAGGACACCAUAGGGUGGAACAUGGGCCUAAACCUCCUAUAAGCCCGUUUUUCAAGCCAACCCUGAAAACUGGUCAGUUUUGAUUGUGAUCAGAGCAGCGUAUAAACUUUGCUGUGGGUUUCCAAAAUAAAAACUGGAUGAGGUUC